GGGUGAAGAAGGCCUUCGGGUUGUAAAGCCCUUUUGUUGGGAAAGAAAUCCAGCUGGUUAAUACCCGGUUGGGAUGACGGUACCCAAAGAAUAAGCACCGGCUAACUUCGUGCCAGCAGCCGCGGUAAUACGAAGGGUGCAAGCGUUACUCGGAAUUACUGGGCGUAAAGCGUGCGUAGGUGGUCGUUUAAGUCCGUUGUGAAAGCCCUGGGCUCAACCUGGGAACUGCAGUGGAUACUGGACGACUAGAGUGUGGUAGAGGGUAGCGGAAUUCCUGGUGUAGCAGUGAAAUGCGUAGAGAUCAGGAGGAACAUCCAUGGCGAAGGCAGCUACCUGGACCAACACUGACACUGAGGCACGAAAGCGUGGGGAGCAAACAGGAUUAGAUACCCUGGUAGUCCACGCCCUAAACGAUGCGAACUGGAUGUUGGGUGCAAUUUGGCACGCAGUAUCGAAGCUAACGCGUUAAGUUCGCCGCCUGGGGAG
rnacentral:rRNA from 1 species